UUAUAAUGUGACCUGGUGACACAGAACAGAAUCUCCUUAAACAAAUGUGCUUUCUACUAGUUCAAGCAAUGUCUUGAACGCACCUGUGCAUCAAGUAUCCUGACGCCGUAGAAGAGCCAGUAGGACAUGGUGAGGAGAAGGGUGAGCGUGGUGAGGAAGGCCCGACACGCGCACACCCUCGGCAGGCUGGCACGGGCCGGCCGCAGAAACAAGGCCCAGAUGGCGGUGAGGAGCAUGAGAAGCUUGAAGGACAGCGACAGGAAAAGUCCCUCGCAGGCGGCGCCGCACGGCUGCAGUCUCUCAGGCCACACGAUGACAGGUAGAAGCAGGAAAACCAGAGGGGUGGCCAGCACCAGCAGGCCCCCGCACACACCCACAGCGAGGGGGAGAUAGCGGCGGAAGCUUCUGGUCCGGUCCUGUAUGCCCUUUCCCAAGCCGACCACUUCCUCCUGGGAGAUGCUGAGCUCCGAAGUGCCCGUCACCGCCGUGGUGGUCUCUCCCCAGUUAUCAUCCUGCAGAGAAUCUUGGACUUUCAUAAUGGGAAGUCUUCAAACACGCUUUGAUGUAAUGUAGGAUGGCACGCAUGCAUGCAGUGGGACGCACACGCUGACGUGAGGAUCCGACGCCGCCGGCAUGGGCUCUCCUGGCAAUGGCUCGCCGUUGUGCACCGGAGAAUCCUGGGAGGACGUCUCUGGAGGAUUAAUGAUGACGGACUUUUCCGAGCGGCUGCUGUCUUUACUGCUGCUAGCCUUGUGGCGCUCUCGACCUCGCUCGCUGGAUGAAAGACACGUACAGAAGAGCACGUGAGGUCAAGGAAAUGUCAACACAAGCGUGGGACACAGCAUUAGGUACGCCUGCACAAACUAAUGACUUCCGCUACAAGACAAGUGGGUUUUGAAGCCUUUCAUCAGUUUAUGGGUUGUGUCAACACCUCGGACAAAAUAAUUGCAGACAUGGAACGUUCUCGUCAAGGGGAUCAUGUAUUAAGAGUUGUGUGGAUUUCCUACUAAAAAUUGCCGCUCGUUCAAAUACAGAAAAUAUUGUACGCAAAAAAAAAUUCAGAUGAUGCACGCACAAAUCCAUUUCUUUGUCACAUUGCAAAUUAACCUGGAAUUCCGGGAUCCCGGACGUCUGGCAUGUUUAUAUUAAAAAGAUUGCAAACCAAACAAUACAUGAUUUUUGCAUUGAAAAUUCUAAUAUAAACCCCUAUUAAUACGCAAUUCCUAUUUAAAGUAGUCAUGUGCCUGAGAUCUACACACCCUGCCCAAUCAAAAUCUAGCAAACUAUCGUUGUUGUACCUCCAAAAACUAAACAGGCUGAAAUCCUUUGAUUUCAGGGGGGCGGCAUAGCUUGGUUGGUAGAGUGGCCGUGCCAGCAACUUGAGGGUUGCAGGUUCGAUUCCCGCUCCCGCCAUUCUAGUCACUGCCGUUGUGUCCUUGGGCAAGGCACUUUACCCACCUGCUCCCAGUGCCACCCACACUGGUUUAAAUGUAACUUAGA